UUAACUAAAACCAAAAAGAGGUAAAUUAUUGUUAAUAAUUUAAUUGAAAUUUAAAAAUCUAGUUGAA
rnacentral:tRNA from 1 species